AUACGGAGGAUCCGAGCGUUAUCCGGAUUUAUUGGGUUUAAAGGGUGCGCAGGCGGCCAUUUACGUCAGCGGUUAAAUCGUGGGGCUCAACCCCAUUCUGCCGUUGAUACUGGGUGGCUUGAUUGCGGUCGAGGUUGGCGGAAUUCGUUGUGUAGCGGUGAAAUGCAUAGAUAUGACGAAGAACACCGAUUGCGUAGGCAGCUGACCAGACCGCAAAUGACGCUCAUGCACGAAAGUGCGGGGAUCGAACAGGAUUAGAUACCCUGGUAGUCCGCACAGUAAACGAUGAAUACUUGUUUUCGGCGAUAUAAUGUCGGAGGCAAAGCGAAAGCGAUAAGUAUUCCACCUGGGGAGUACGCCGGCAACGGUGAAACUCAAAUGAAUUGACGGGG
rnacentral:rRNA from 1 species